rnacentral:rRNA from 1 species
AUUGAACGCUGGCGGCAGGCCUAACACAUGCAAGUCGAACGAGUGGCGGACGGGUGAGUAAUGUCUGGGAAACUGCCUGAUGGAGGGGGAUAACUACUGGAAACGGUAGCUAAUACCGCAUACUAUCGGAUGUGCCCAGAUGGGAUUAGCUAGUAGGUGGGGUAAAGGCUCACCUAGGCGACGAUCCCUAGCUGGUCUGAGAGGCUGACCAGCCACACUGGAACUGAGACACGGUCCAGACUCCUACGGGAGGCAGCAGUGGGGAAUAGUGCACAAUGGGCGCAAGCCUGAUGAAGCAAUGCCGUGUGUAUGAAGAAGGCCUUAGGGUUGUAAAGUACUUUCAGCGGGGAGGCGUUACCCGCAGAAGAAGCACCGGCUAACGCCGUGCCAGCAGCCGCGGUAAUAC